GUUAAGUGACUAAGCGUAUGUGGUGGAUGCCUUGGCAGUUAGAGGCGAUGAAGGACGUGUUAAUCUGCGAAAAGCUUUGGUGAGGUGAUAAAAACCGUUAUAGCCAAAGAUGUCCGAAUGGGGAAACCCACUUAGCAUAAGCUAGGUAUCAUUAACUGAAUACAUAGGUUAAUGAGGCAAACCGGGAGAACUGAAACAUCUAAGUACCCCGAGGAAAAGAAAUCAACCGAGAUUUCGUUAGUAGCGGCGAGCGAACGCGAAUCAGCCCUUAAGCUUAUUGGGCGCUAGUAGAAUCUACUGGAAAGUAGAACGAUACAGGGUGAUAGUCCCGUAUACUAAAGCAACCUUUAAGUGAAAUCGAGUAGGACGGAGCACGUGAAACUUUGUCUGAAUAUGGGGGGACCAUCCUCCAAGGCUAAAUACUACUAACUGACCGAUAGUGAACCAGUACCGUGAGGGAAAGGCGAAAAGAACCCCUGUGAGGGGAGUGAAAUAGAACCUGAAACCGCAUACGUACAAGCAGUGGGAGCCAAAUUUAGUUUGGUGACUGCGUACCUUUUGUAUAAUGGGUCAGCGACUUAUAUUUUGUAGCAAGGUUAACCGAAUAGGGGAGCCGUAGCGAAAGCGAGUGUUAACUGCGCGUUUAGUUGCAAGGUAUAGACCCGAAACCCGGCGAUCUACCCAUGGGCAGGUUGAAGGUUGAGUAACAUCAACUGGAGGACCGAACACACGUAUUUGAAAAAUGCGGUGAUGACUUGUGGGUCGGAGUGAAAGGCUAAUCAAGCCGGGAGAUAGCUGGUUCUCCCCGAAAUCUAUUUAGGUAGAGCCUCGCACGAACACCAUUGGGGGUAGAGCACUGUUAAGGCUAGGGGGUCAUCCCGACUUACCAACCCUUUGCAAACUCCGAAUACCAAUGAGUGAUAUGCGGGAGACACACUACGGGUGCUAACGUCCGUUGUGAAGAGGGAAACAACCCAGACCGCCAGCUAAGGUCCCAAAGUACUAGUUAAGUGGGAAACGAUGUGGAAAGGCAUAGACAGCUAGGAGGUUGGCUUAGAAGCAGCCAUCCUUUAAAGAAAGCGUAAUAGCUCACUAGUCGAGUCGGUCUGCGCGGAAGAUGUAACGGGGCUAAACUAGUCACCGAAGCUGCGGAUUUGAACUUAGGUUCAAGUGGUAGGGGAGCGUUCUGUAAGCCGUUGAAGGUGAAUUGAGAAGUUUGCUGGAGGUAUCAGAAGUGCGAAUGCUGACAUGAGUAACGAUAAGGGGAGUGAAAAACUCCCCCGCCGAAAGACCAAGGUUUCCUGUCCCAUGUUAAUCAGGGCAGGGUAAGUCGGCCCCUAAGGCGAGGCGGAAACGCGUAGUCGAUGGGAAACAGAUUAAUAUUUCUGUACUUCUAUAUAUUGCGAAGGAGGGACGGAGUAGGCUAGAUGAGCACGGCGUUGGUAGUCCGUGUGAAAGAAUGUAGGUGGGUGACUUAGGUAAAUCCGGGUUACUGUUAACACUGAGACUCGAGACGAGUGUCUACGGACAUGAAGUUGUUGAUGCCAUGCUUCCAGGAAAAGCUUCUAAGCUUCAGAUAUAUAGGAACCGUACCCCAAACCGACACAGGUGGUUAGGUAGAGAAUACUAAGGCGCUUGAGAGAACUCGGGUGAAGGAACUAGGCAAAAUAGUACCGUAACUUCGGGAGAAGGUACGCUGCAUAUGGGUGAUAGAACUUGCUUCUUAAGCCCGGCGCAGUCGAAGUAACCAGGUGGCUGGAACUGUUUAUUAAAAACACAGCACUGUGCAAAAUCGAAAGAUGACGUAUACGGUGUGACGCCUGCCCGGUGCCGGAAGGUUAAUUGAUUCGGUUAGUCCUCGGACGAAGCUGAUGAUCGAAGCCCCGGUAAACGGCGGCCGUAACAAUAACGGUCCUAAGGUAGCGAAA
rnacentral:rRNA from 1 species